rnacentral:lncRNA from 1 species
CCUUACUCUCUGAGUAAGGGGAGCCUCCCACCUACUUACCUGGCCAAUUAUUCGAUUACCUCUUAUGAAGAGCUCAAGUUGCAAACACUAAGACAUGAUUAACCAAUAUUAAGUCCAUAGUCUUCUACCGUAGUAGAGCUGCUAAGGUCUUUCUGGUGUUGACUUGUCUCGGCUGGACACAGUGGGCAAGUUGCAUCGGAGGGCUGGACCUCUCUAUAGACAUGAGAUGUUGUAGGGAUA